rnacentral:piRNA from 1 species
UGGCAGAUGAUGAUUUCCUGACAGUGAC